UUAUUCACAUCAGUAGCAAAUAUACUAAAACUGGAACAGAGAAAAUCAGCAUGGUCCCUGUGUAAGGAUGACAAGCAAAUUCAUGAACUGUUCCAUAUUUUU